rnacentral:lncRNA from 1 species
CCCUUUUGUCCCUGAAUCCCUGUGCCUCAGUUUCCCUUUUGGGCUCGGCUCUCCCAGCUCACCUGGCAGAUGCGGCAGACGGUGACGGUGCUCGAUGUGGUGCAAGAGCCCACGGGCAGUGAGAGCUGUAAGGCCGGGUGCUGCUGGGGGAUCGGACCAUCACACUGUGUGCCACCACUCCAACUCCCCAACGCUCUGCCCCGCUCACAGCCUUCACUGGAAUCUACACCGAUGCGCUGCCGCCGCAGUGCUGGGCAGCUGACAGCCGGCGGGCACUGCUGUGCACCCCACAGCGGAGCCGCACGGACCUGCUGCUGGUGGAUACAGAGACUGCCACCGUCACCAACCUCACUGCCGGGUCACCCGAGGGGUGCUGGGAGCUGCUGACCAUCCAGUGGGACCUGCUGGUGGCCACCUGCUCGGCCCCGCACCGC